rnacentral:rRNA from 1 species
CCUACGGGAGGCUGCAGUGGGGAAUAUUGGGCAAUGGGCGCAAGCCUGACCCAGCAACGCCGCGUGAAGGAAGAAGGCCCUCGGGUUGUAAACUUCUUUUAUCAGGGACGAAGCAAGUGACGGUACCUGAUGAAUAAGCUACGGCUAACUACGUGACAGCAGCCGCGGUAAUACGUAGGUGGCAAGCGUUAUCCGGAUAUACUGGGUGUAAAGGGCGUGUAGGCGGGAAAGCAAGUCAGAUGUGAAAACCAUGGGCGCAACCUGUGGCCUGCAUUUGAAACUGUUUUGCUUGAGUACUGGAGAGGCAGACGGAAUUCCUAGUGUAGCGGUGAAAUGCGUAGAUAUUAGGAGGAACACCAGGGGCGAAGGCGGUCUGCUGGACAGCAACUGACGCUGAGGCGCGAAAGCGUGGGGAGCAAACAGGAUUAGAUACCCUUGUAGUC